CCUACGGGAGGCAGCAGUAGGGAAUCUUCGGCAAUGGGCGAAGCCUGACCGAGCAACGCCGCGUGAAUGAAGAAGGCCUUCGGGUUGUAAAAUUCUGUUAUAAGGGAAGAAAGGUGAUAGGAGGAAAUGACUAUCAAUUGACGGUACCUUAUGAGAAAGCCACGGCUAACUACGUGCCAGCAGCCGCGGUAAUACGUAGGUGGCAAGCGUUGUCCGGAUUUAUUGGGCGUAAAGCGAGUGCAGGCGGUUCAAUAAGUCUGAUGUGAAAGCCUUCGGCCCAACCGGAGAAUUGCAUCAGAAAAUGU
rnacentral:rRNA from 1 species